rnacentral:snRNA from 1 species
AUGCUCACUUCAGCAACACAUAUGCUAAAAUUGGAAAGAUAGCGAGAAAGAUAGUAUGGCUCCUGCAGAGGGAUGACACACAAUUUCAUAAAGCAUCCCACACACAC